rnacentral:rRNA from 1 species
AUUGAACGCUGGCGGCAGGCCUAACACAUGCAAGUCGAACGGUAGCACAGAGAGCUUGCGCUCGGGUGACGAGUGGCGGACGGGUGAGUAACGUCUGGGAAACUGCCCGAUGGAGGGGGAUAACUACUGGAAACGGUAGCUAAUACCGCAUAACGUCGCAAGCACAAAGUGGGGGACCGUCGGGCCUCACACCAUCGGAUGUGCCCAGAUGGGAUUAGCUAGUAGGUGGGGUAAUGGCUCACCUAGGCGACGAUCCCUAGCUGGUCUGAGAGGAUGACCAGCCACACUGGAACUGAGACACGGUCCAGACUCCUACGGGAGGCAGCAGUGGGGAAUAUUGCACAAUGGGCGCAAGCCUGAUGCAGCCAUGCCGCGUGUAUGAAGAAGGCCUUCGGGUUGUAAAGUACUUUCAGCGGGGAGGAAGGCGGUGAAGUUAAUAACUUCACCGAUUGACGUUACCCGCAGAAGAAGCACCGGCUAACUCCGUGCCAGCAGCCGCAGUAA